GAUGAACGCUGGCGGCGUGCCUAAUACAUGCAAGUCGAGCGAACAGACGAGGAUCUUGCUCCUCUGACGUUAGCGGCGGAUGGGUGAGUAACACGCGGAUAACCUACCUUUAAGACUGGUAUAACUUCGGGAAACCGGAGCGAAGACCGGAUAUUAUAUUAAACCACAUGGUCUAAUAGUGCAAGACGGUUUUGCUGUCACUUAUAGAUGUAUCCGCGCCGCAUUAGCUAGUUGGUAAGGUAACGGUUUACCCAUGCAACGAUGCGUAGCCGCCCUUGGAGGAGGUUCCGCCACACAGGACGAGAGACACGGUCCCGACUCCUAUGAUAGGCCGCCGAAGUGAAUCUUCCGCAAUGCACAAAGGCUUAACGGGGCAACGCCGCGUGAAUGGUGAAGAUCAUGUGAUCGUUAAACUCUGUUGUUAGGGAAGAUCAAAUGUGUAAGUACCUAUGCACGUCUUGACGGUACCUAAUCAGAAAGCCACGGCUAACUACGUG
rnacentral:rRNA from 1 species